UACGAUCACCUUAAUACGCAUAAAAAGAAGAAGAAAAAAAAUAUUGCCAACUUUCUCUAGAAUUAUAUCAUUUCUUAUUGUGAGAAAAAUGGCAGGAAAUAAUUCUCUGAUGAUUAGGUCUAUUUUGAGGACCCUUCUCUUAGUCUUUGCUGUGAUUUUCUAUCUAAUAUUGAUAUCUGAUGCAGCUCGAGUGCCGCCGGUACCAGCUGUAGCAUGUCCCCUUUGUGUCUCAUGUUGCGAACCAGCACCCAAGGGCUCCUGUUGCCGCUGUGGUUGCUGAAACUCAUGGACAGAAUAUAUUGCUCUCCAUUGUAUAUUACCAAUACCGGUACUGUAUUAAUAAGAAGGACAUCAUAUAUACAUGGACUCUACUAUGUAUACCAUGAUUAUAGAAUAUUUAAGGAAUGUCCUAAUUCCGCAGACAAGAAUACUCAUGUACUUUCGAUCUCUUUGUAAUAACAGGGUUUACUUUAAUUUGGUUUAAUGUUUGUUCCAA